CCGGAUGCAUCUACUACGAUCAGGGAGCUCAUAUGUGUAUGAGUGCAUUGGCGGAUCUUAUACAACAAACAAAUUUGCGGCCGUUGGAUGAAUAUCCAGCGACCAGGAUGCGCUUUUAAAACGCUGAAUAAAACCUCCCCAGCCAGAAACGUAUGUGCUGCAUAAAACCUCCCCAGCAAUCAUAUGCCGGGGACCGGCACCCCACAGAAAACACCUACCUCAUAAUCAGUCACUUUUCAGUUGGGAGUUGUUGAUUUUUCUAUACUGAGAUAAAAUUUGGUCUGUUGCUGCAGUUGAAGGAAAGUGCAGCACUCUUCAGGCCAAAAUUAAUUGUUGCUGGUGCAAGCUUAUGCUGGCUUGUACAACUAUGAACACAUGCAUUAGGUAAAUACGGAGGCAGAGCACAUGGUUUCGAAUAUUUUUCGUCAUUGUUAUCUUGGCUUUUCAGAACCUAUAAGUCACUUGUCAUUUGCUUCACAACUUGUUCAGUCUUCUCAGCACCUGGUUUUUCAUCUUCAAUUAUCGAUACAGCUGAGAUUGAAGUUUUAACAUAUCAGAACUAAAUUAACAUCUGAAUGUCGUCGUAUAGGCCAUGUACGACUUUGAGCAUAGAAUCAACCGUGCUGUGUUUCCGCCUUCAAGGCGAGCCACACAAUCAAACCAUUGCUGGUAUAGCAGUUGCACCGAAAGAGACUUUGACAGAUAUGGGAUAUGAAUUGGUAUCUGGUGGAACUGAGAACCAUUCAGUUCUGGUAAAUCUAAAGAACAAGGUAAAAGAAUAAUUUUUUUUUUUUUUUGGUUGCAUUUCUUAUGACCUUAUUCUAAUUGAUGAAUUGGUGACUGUAUACUGUAUAGAGUUCUUCAGAGUAUGUUUUUAAUAUUUGAUUAAUUUUUAAUAUAACAGAUCAUAUCGUGUAACAUACUUAGAUACCACCUAAAAAUGACUAAAUGAAGUUGUUCCGACACAGAUAUUUUCUCAAAAAAAGUUAUUACUACAAGGCAAUUGGGAAAAUGCAUCAACAUGUGUAUUCUGUUAUCACUACACUGUAAGUGUUCAUAUUCAAACACUUUUUUCUCAAAAGUGUGACAUACGAGCACUUAUGACAUGGUAAAAGAGAUAUAUGAAAUAUCUUCACUAGAGAAGAUUAUAUUAUGUUGUUUUAGCUACCUAGAAUAACUUGUCCCAAAUUUGUAUGUUAUUAAGAGCCGGCUUGGGAAAAUGCAUCAAAACUCGCAUGUUAUUAAGAGGCGCCUUGUCAUUAAACACUACUCCAUAAGUGCUUAUAUGCAAUGCUUUUUCUCAGAAGUGUGGUGUAAGAGCACUUAUGGCGUCGUGAAUAAGAUAUAUAUACAUCAAUCGGCAGGAAUAUCUCAAGAAGAUUAUAUUAUGAUACUUUAGCUACCUAGAAUAACUUGUACAAUGAAAUGUACUUCUUAAUCUCUGUGAACAAAUUUUCUGCAGGGAAUUGAUGGGUCUAAAGUUGAAAAGGUCCUGGAAUCUGUGGCCAUUGCAGCCAAUAAAAACACUGUUCCUGGUGAUGUCUCUGCCAUGGUGCCUGAGGCCAUUCGAAUGGGUAAACCUUUCUAAUUUGACGGAGUAUUCUUUUGCUGGAAUUGUGAGUACCCAUUUGUACGGAGGACUUAUUAAUUUUGUAAUCUAGGAACACCUGCUCUGACUUCGAGGGGAUUCUCUGAACCAGAUUUUAUAAAUGCUGCGGUGCAAUUGGCUUCAAGGAUCAAGGCUAAUACAAAAGGCAGAUAUAAGAGUCUGCAAAUCUAGCAAAUUUUUUGUUUUCACUUUCAGUAACGUUUUCAUGCUCAUGCGCCUAUUAUAUCAGGACCAAAGUUAAAGGACUUCGUCAAAACAAUAAAAGAUGGAAUAUAUCAAUCUGAGAUUACCAAAUUAAAGCACGAAGUGGAGGAGUAUGCCAAACAGUUUCUCACAGUCUGUAGGAAACUGUUUGGCAUACUCCACGUCAUGCUUUAAUUUGGUGAUCUCAGAUUGAUAUAUUUCAUCUUUCAUUGUUUUGACGAAGUCCUUCAACUUUGGUCGUGAUAUGAUAGCCGCAUGAGGAAGAAAACAUUGCUGAAAGAGAAAACAAAAUUUGCUAGAUUUGCAGACUCUUAUAUCUACCUUUUGUAUUAGCCUUGACCCUUAAAGCCAAUUGCACCGCAGCAUCAAAGAACUCAGCAACUUUUAUAAAAUCUGGUUCGAGAAGUCCCCUCAAAGUCAGAGCAGGUGUUCCUAGAUUACAAAAUUAAUAAGUCCUCCGUAAAAAUGGGUACUCACAAUUCCAGCAAAAGAAUACUCCAUCAAAUUAGAAAGGUUUACCCAUUCGAAUGCCCCCAUGCACCAUGGCAGAGACAUCACCAGGAACAGUGUUUUUAUUGGCUGCAAUAGCCACAGAUUCCAGGACCUUUUCAACUUUAGACUCAUCAAUUUCCUGCAGAAAGUUAGUUCACAGAGAUUAAGAAGUACAUUUCAUUAUACAAGUUAUUCUAGGUAGCUAAAGUAUCAUAAUAUAAUCUUCUUGAGAUAUUUCUGCCAAUUGAUAUAUAUAUCUUAUUCACGACGCCAUAAGUGCUCAUACACCACACUUCUGAGAAAAAGCAUUGCAUAUAAGCACUUAUGGAGUAGUGUUUAAUGACAAGGUGCCUCUUAAUAACAUGCGAGUUUUGAUGCAUUUUCCCAAGCUAGCUCUUGAUAACAUACAAAUUUGGGACAAGUUAUUCUAGGUAGCUAAAACAACAUAAUGUAAUCUUCUCUAGUCAAGAUAUUUCAUAUAUCUCUUUCACCAUGUCAUAAGUGCUCGUAUGCCACACUUUUGAGAAAAAGUGUUGUAUAUGAACACUUACAGUGUAGUGAUAACAGAAUACACAUGUUGAUGCAUUUUCCCAAUUGCCUUGUAAUAACUUUUUUUUUUAGAAAAUAUUCGUGUCGGAACAACUUCUUUUAGUCAUUUUUAUGUGGUAUCUCAGUAUGGUAUACGAUUUGAUCUGUUAUAUUAAAAAUUAAUUACAUAUUGCUCCAAGCACAUACUAUAUGGAUGAGGAAAAAGUGCUCCGAAGAACUCUAUGCAGUAUACAGUCACCAAUUCAUCAAUUAGCAUAAGGUCAUAAGCAAUGAAGCAGAAAGGAAAAUAUAUAUUAUUCUCUUACAUUGUUCUUUAGAUUUACCAGAGCUAAAUGGUUCUCAGUUUCACCAGAUACCAAUUCAUAUCCCAUUACUGAAAGAGAAAACAAAAUUUGCUAGAUUUGCAGACUCUUAUAUCUACCUUUUGAAAGCAAAAUUAGAACUUACCUUACGCUUUUUGAGAGCAAAGUGUGAAAUCAACCAACGGAGCUUGACAGUCUCCAUCAAGCUUAAUCAUGAAUCGUCAACCCAGCAGAACUCCUACAGAUAAUUAAUUUUGCAGUACAGAAAAAUGUGUAUUAUUUGCGGACGAGAUAAAAUGAACAUGCUUCUCAAUCUCGUAAGGUAAAAAUUUCACCACUGAAAUAGAAAAAUGCAAAAGAGUAAACAGAAA